UUUGAACCUGGGACCUUUUGGUCUGCAAGUUCAGCAGCUCAGUGCUUUAACACACUUCGCCACUGGGGCUCCUUACAAUAUAAAUAGUUUACUUGACAGAGCUUUAAAGGGCCUUGCUUUUGUCAGCUGCCACUAUUUUCCAUGGUGCUGGGAUCCCAGGACUAUCAUGUAGUAACUAUCAGUAACUUUUCUACAUGCUGACUUCUAGUGGCUUUCAUUUAUAAUUGUGAAAAUUGACUGUUGUUUCAUAAGGUCAUUUUGUAUAGGUUGCACAGUCUGUCCUGGGAAAGAGAUCACAUUGGCCUUCUCAGAGAGAUUAGUUUGAAGGAAGAAAAUUGAAGCUGAGGCUAAUGUUCAUUUGCAUUAUUUUUACCAUCAGUGAAAAGAGAACAAAAAAUGACAGAAAAUUAUUAGGGCUAAAAUAUUCCUAUGAUAAUCAAAUAUCCUUUUGAAAUUAGUUUCUUUUCUUAUGAGUGGGAUAAAUGCAUUAGCAUAGCAAUGUGAUGUGAUGUGUCAAACCUGAGAAAUUUGCUAUCUGUAUUUGCAAAUGUUCUGUCAUCUUCUGGAUAGAGGAAUCAUUAAAGUGUGUGAUUUCUUGGAGUAGAAUCAAGACAAGUUGCUUGGCAUGUUAUGUUGAUUCACUGCAUUAACAAAAAGUGCUCCCAUUACUUAUUGUUUUAAUAAAAACUUUAUCUUUCAUAAAGAUUUAUCUGUUGUCUUAGGAUAACAGAGAAUGCCAGAGAUUGGGAUCAAGAUCUUUUUGCAACAUAUGAAUAUGCCUAGCAGCUACCCCUGAAUAUGUUUCAUGGAUCCGUAUGUAUUUGUAGCAAGUCCCUGUGCAACAUUUUAACCACAAGACCAACUCUUUAUACUUUCAGAGAGAGGAAAAGAGUAAGAUUGAGCGGAAUGAAAAUGAAAGAGAGUGACAGAGAGACAGAGGGUACAGGACUAGAAGCCACAUCAGUAUCAAAACAAAUCAAUGAACUGCAAUGAGAAGCAAGUAGAACUACUUCAAAUUACCUGCUGACCUAUGGCAACCCCAUGAUUUUCAUAGGAUUUUCUUAAGCAAGGGUUAUUCAGAGGUGGUUUUGUGAAUUCUUGUCUCUGAAAUGUAGCCUAUUAUACCUGAUAUUCAUUGGCAGUCUUCCAUCCAUGUACUAACCAGGACUGACCCUAUUUAGCUUCCAAUAUCAAAUAGGCUCUGGUGCCUUUAGGAUAUUUAGACCCACCAAAUGGUGCCAGAGCCCUACAUUUGUGAACACAGCUAUUAAAGUUCAAGCUAUCUCAUCAAGGCAUCAUUAAUAUAUCAAGCAAAUAGAGACAAAUGCCAUGCCCUCUUCAAUCUAUGCAAAACUGCUUAGGACACAAAUACCAAAACUAUUACACUACGUUAGAAGACAAAAAAGCCAUGUGUAGACAUGGUAAAAUAUGAAGAUACAUUAAAAGGUAACAGGAUUGCAGGAAAUACAAAGCAUGCAUUUUUCCAAGCUUAAUAUGUACCAAAUCCCCUGAUGCAAAUCAUGGAAUUAGAGGGUUACAGUGCACUGGUCACAUUGACUGAUGAUAAUAUUUUUUUAAAAAAAUAUUAAGUGACAAUGUACAUGAAUAAAUUAUCAGCUACAUAACAGACUUGAUGGUCCAAUUAUUCGCAACUCUUUUGUAGAAGGGAACUCACUCUAUCCUUGGCGUAGCCUUGGGACAUUGAGUUCCUCCUUCCAUCCCUUGAUCUUUGUUGAUCUGUGUCCUGGAAACAAUAGCUGUGUUUACUAGCGGUAGGCAUCUUAGCUAAAUUUUGAGAUAAUUCAAAUAGACAAUCCAGUAGAUAUACAUUUCAAUUCAGAGUGAGAUGAAUUAAUUUAAACUGAUCUGGGGAAUAGGUUGGAAGAAGUCCUUGGCAAUAGUGGGAGUUUCGAGAAAAUGUUUCAGGAUGAAAAUAUGAUAUGGAUUUCUAAAAUAAAGUCAGUACACACAGGAACAAAAAAGGGGACUUCCAGGUACUUCUUACUCAUAUGGAAAGACUUUCAGAAAAACGUAAGCUCUUGCUGAAAAAAGCAGAAAAUAUUACAUAGAUGGGGAGAAAAACUACAAGAUGUUUACAUCUCAUUUAUCAGAAUAAAGGAAGCAAAGAUUUGUGGGGAAGAGGUUUUAUUUUGUGUGGGAUAGGGGGUUUGGGUGUGUGUGUGGUCUGUCGUGUGUAAUAUGUCUUGUGUUGUUGUUUGAAUGUUAGGGUGAACUCUUAUAUUUAAUUUUUUUAAUUAAAAAUGAGUAGAAAGCUUAGACUGAAAAUAGUGGAUAUAUGUCUAUAUGUCUUAAGUUACUGAUAAUAAUAUCUACUCAAUGUCAGAAUUAACUGUUUGAUUGACUAUUGUAGAUAUGCAUGUAUACAUCAAAAUUAUUGUUAUCUGACUAUAUCUGCUUUGAUUUGUUGUUCUGUUAUGUACCAUAACUUUAAUAAACUGUUUACCCCAAAAAAAGAAAAAAGAAAAAUAUAGUACUCACUUGAUAGCUGUCUUGAUCUUAACACAUGAUGUGUCACCUCUUUAGGAGUGAAGGUGCUUCUUUUUGGAUUUAAUGUGAUAUAGCAAAACUCACUUUGCUCUGUAGUUUCUGGGGAAAUCUGGUCUGUUGCUUUUUUGUAUCUGUGUACAAUUUAGGUUGGGGUAGUUUUGGUGACAAGGGGCAGGACAGGUUGCUGGGUGGAAAAUGUCACCCUUUUCUUUUUUAUAUGUCCACCGUGACUUAAUGGAGGGGUAUGCUUUUUUAUAUUAAAGAUCUCCCUUUCUUUGCACUGGGAAGUGUUGGGGUGGGGGAGAGGGGCAAUGGCAAAUUACUCUAAGUAGAAUCAGUGACCCAAGCAGAAAGGAAAUGUCAGGGACUCCAUCCCUACCACUACUGCUUCCCAGCACAAAAAUAAAAUAUUUUUAGAUGGGAAAUCUGUGGAGGUGGGGAGGACGGUCCCUGCCAGACAGCUCAUUGGCAGAGCCCUACUGGGAGGUCAUUUGCUCAGAACGAGGAGCCCAGGGUCAAUCAUUAUAGCUCCUUGCUAUUGGCUGCAUGGCUGGGUACCUCAUCCUGAGAUUUUCCAGUGAUGCUCUGUUGGGAAGCUAUUUGGCCUGCAAGGCAGAAACAGGGAAAUUACUUUGGAGGAGAAGGAGAAAUAAAUUUUCUGAUUCAAAUUUGAAGUUUGGGCAGCAAUAUAUUUUCGUUUUUUUGGUUUUUUUUUUU